GAUCAAGCUACAAAGGGCGCAUGGUGGAUGCCUUGGCACCAGGAGCCGAUGAAGGACGUGGUAAGCUGCGAAAAGCUGCGGGUAGCCGCAAACAGGCUGUGAUCCGCAGAUGUCCGAAUGGGGGAACCCGCAUGGCUAACGCCAUGCAUCCUUAGCUGAAUCCAUAGGCUAAGGAGGGCACACCCGGGGAACUGAAACAUCUAAGUACCCGGAGGAAAAGAAAGAAUAAUCGAUUCCCUAAGUAGCGGCGAGCGAAAGGGGAGGAGCCCAAACCAGAGGAAACUCUGGGGUUGCGGACAGGUCAAGAAAGCGAAGGAGUUCUUAGUCGAAUAGGUCUGGAAAGGCCAGCCACAGAAGGUAAAAGCCCUGUAGGCGAAAAGGACUUUGAGCGAGACCUGAUCCAGAGUACCACGGGACACGAGGAACCCUGUGGGAAGCAGGGAGGACCACCUCCCAAGGCUAAAUACUACCUGGUGACCGAUAGCGCAUAGUACCGUGAGGGAAAGGUGAAAAGAACCCCGGGAGGGGAGUGAAAUAGAACCUGAAACCGUGUGCCUACAAGCAGUCGGAGGGCGUUAAGGCCUGACGGCGUGCUUUUUGUAGAACGAGCCAGCGAGUUACGGUAUGUAGCGAGGUUAAGCACUUAAGGUGCGAAGCCGUAGGGAAACCGAGUCUGAAGAGGGCGAUAAGUUGCAUGCCGUAGACCCGAAACCGGGUGACCUAUCCAUGGACAGGGUGAAGGUGAGGUAAAACUCACUGGAGGCCCGAACCACGUUGGUGUUGAAAAACCAUGGGAUGAGCUGUGGAUAGCGGAGAAAUUCCAAUCGAACUCGGAGAUAGCUGGUUCUCCCCGAAAUAGCUUUAGGGCUAGCCUCGGGUUAGAGACAUGGAGGUAGAGCACUGAAUGGGCUAGGGGCCGUCUAGGUUACCGAACCUUAUCAAACUCCGAAUGCCAUAGUCUUGAUGCCCGGGAGUCAGACUUAGAGUGAUAAGAUCCUAAGUCAAAAGGGAAACAGCCCAGACCAUCAGCUAAGGUCCCAAAGUGCAUGUUAAGUGGUAAAGGAUGUGGGACUUCUAAGACAACCAGGAUGUUGGCUUAGAAGCAGCCAUUCAUUUAAAGAGUGCGUAAUAGCUCACUGGUCGAGAGGUCCUGCGCCGAAGAUGUCCGGGGCUCAAACAUGCCACCGAAGCUAUGGAUUUGGUACCGUUGCUAAUGCUUAUAUGGUAGAGAGGAUAGAAAAGAGAGGACAUCUUUAUGCUGCUACGCAGCGAAGCGAAGGAGCAGCAUUAGAUAUAACAAGCUAAAACAUGCCAUGUAGGCGAUAGCAACGGUACCAAAUGGUAGGGGAGCUUUCUUAGCGGGUUGAAGUCAGACCGUGAGGACUGGUGGACUGCUAAGAAGUGAGAAUGCUGGCAUAAGUAGCGAGAAAUAGGUGAGAAUCCUAUUCGCCGAAAACCUAAGGUUUCCUCAGGAAGGCUCGUCCGCUGAGGGUUAGUCGGGACCUAAGCCGAGGCCGAAAGGCGUAGGUGAUGGACAAUCGGUUGAUAUUCCGAUACCACCAGCAGCCGUUUGAGAGAUGGGGGGACGCAGGAGGAUAGGCUGAGCACACUGCUGGAUAUGUGUGUCCAAAGCACAAGGUAUGCCUCUUAGGCAAAUCCGGGAGGAUAAGCUGAGUGCUGAUGGGGAGCCGUAAGGCGAAGCAGCCGAUUUCACACUGCCGAGAAAAGCCUCUAUCGAGGAUGCUGGUGCCCGUACCGCAAACCGACACAGGUAGGUGAGGAGAGAAUCCUAAGGCGAGCGGGAGAACCCUU
rnacentral:rRNA from 1 species